rnacentral:lncRNA from 1 species
GGCUGAAAGCAAUGAUCUUGCCAGUCAUCCUUUCACGUAUUCAUUAUGGUCUACAGCUGAGAAGGGCUGUUUGGGGUUUGCUUUGCCUGAUGGUAGCAGAAGAAAACCAAGAGGCCUCUCUACGAAAGCUUGCAGUAAGGAGAAAGUUCUGGAGACUGGGAAGAGCAAUACAAAGAUAUUCAGUUGCUUGGUGAGAGCUGCUCUCUGCUUCCAAGGUGGCACCUUGUUGCUGCAUCCUCCAAUGGGAAGGAACGCUGGGUCCUCACAUGACAGAAGGUGGAAAGAUUCCUGGACCUGAUAGAAGACUCAUUGAAAAAGGAGGUCUGGAGUUGGGGCCUAGGAAGCUGCUUUUUGAACAAGAUUCCCAUGUGAUCAUAGCACACGUCUUCUGCCUUCAGCUUAAAUAGCAGCACAAUUAGACCUGGAUUCCUGCAACUGUCAAGAUGAAUAAGAUGAAGCAAGAAUUCCAUUGCUUUAUCCUGCUGCAUUUUGGGUUUGUUUUCUAAGUUGAUUAUUCACAGGAUGUAGCAUUUUGUUUUGUUUCUCCAUGGCAGAGGAUGAAGACACAGUAUAAAUCAAUGCCCUGUGCUUGUCUAGGAUUACAUAGGGAGAGAGCUCUGAAGUUGUUUGGAGAUGUUUGGGAGAAAGAGAUUUUUUACAAGGAAAAGUGUAAAGGACUGCUUAGCUAAUACUAAAAAAGCUUCAAUGGUGCCGAGGAAUACAAAUUAAGAACUCACAUGGAGAAGGCCAAUAGGAUGUCCCUGUUUAUUGAAGAGUAAUAAAUAUUUUUAAAA